rnacentral:rRNA from 1 species
AAUAUUGGACAAUGGGCGAAAGCCUGAUCCAGCCAUGCCGUGUGUGUGAAGAAGGUCUUCGGAUUGUAAAGCACUUUAAGUUGGGAGGAAGGGCAGUAAGGUAAUACCUUGCUGGUUUGACGUUACCGACAGAAAAAGCACCGGCUAACUUCGUGUCAUGAGCCGCGGUAAUACGAAGGGCGGAAGCGAUACUCGGAAUUACUGGGCGUAAAGCGCGGGUGGGUGGUUUGUUAAGUUGGAAGGGAAAGCCCCGGGCGAAACUUGGGGACUGAUUUCAAAACUGGCAAGCUAGAGUAUAGCAGAGGGUGGUGGAAUUUCCUGUGUAGCGGUGGAAUGCGUAGAUAUAGGAAGGAAAGCAAGUGGCGAAGGCAACCACCUGGGCUAAUACUGACACUGAGGUGCGAAAGCGUGGGGAGCAAACA